rnacentral:rRNA from 1 species
CGAACGGGUGAGUAAUGCGUGACCAACCUCGCCCCAUGCUCCAGAAUAGCUCUUGGAAACGGGUGGUAAUGCUGGAUGCUCCAACUUGACGCAUGUCUUGUUGGGAAAGUGUUUAGUGGCAUGGGAUGGGGUCGCGUCCUAUCAGCUUGUAGGCGGGGUAAUGGCCCACCUAGGCUUCGACGGGUAGCCGGCCUGAGAGGGCGGACGGCCACAUUGGGACUGAGAUACGGCCCAGACUCCUACGGGAGGCAGCAGCC